rnacentral:rRNA from 1 species
GAUGAACGCUAGCUACAGGCUUAACACAUGCAAGUCGCGGGGCAGCAUGGGGGUUGCUUGCCAUCCCCGAUGGCGACCGGCGCACGGGUGAGUAACGCGUAUCCAACCUGCCCUUCACCACGGGAUAACCCGGCGAAAGUCGGACUAAUACCGUAUGUUGUCCAUUGACGGCAUCCGAUUUGGACGAAAGGCUUGGCGGUGAGGGAUGGGGAUGCGUCCGAUUAGCCAGACGGCGGGGUAACGGCCCACCGUGGCUACGAUCGGUAGGGGUUCUGAGAGGAAGGUCCCCCACACUGGAACUGAGACACGGUCCAGACUCCUACGGGAGGCAGCAGUGGGGAAUAUUGGUCAAUGGGCGUAAGCCUGAACCAGCCAAGUAGCGUGCAGGAUGACGGCCCUAUGGGUUGUAAACUGCUUUUAUGCGGGGAUAAAGUGGCCCACGUGUGGGCUUUUGCAGGUACCGCAUGAAUAAGGACCGGCUAAUUCCGUG